UAGGGAAUCUUCGGCAAUGGACGAAAGUCUGACCGAGCAACGCCGCGUGAGUGAAGAAGGUUUUCGGAUCGUAAAACUCUGUUGUUAGAGAAGAACAAGGACGUUAGUAACUGAACGUCCCCUGACGGUAUCUAACCAGAAAGCCACGGCUAACUACGUGCCAGCAGCCGCGGUAAUACGUAGGUGGCAGCGUUGUCCGGAUUUAUUGGGCGUAAAGCGAGCGCAGGCGGUUUCUUAAGUCUGAUGUGAAAGCCCCCGGCUCAACCGGGGAGGGUCAUUGGAAACUGGGUGACUUGAGUGCAGAAGAGGAGAGUGGAAUUCCAUGUGUAGCGGUGAAAUGCGUAGAUAUAUGGAGGAACACCAGUAGCGAAGGCGGCUCUCUGGUCUGUAACUGACGCUGAGGCUCGAAAGCGUGGGGAGCAAACAGG
rnacentral:rRNA from 1 species